rnacentral:rRNA from 1 species
GCAAGGAAUUUUGCGCAAUGGGCGAAAGCCUGACGCAGCAACGCCGCGUGAGGGAUGAAGGCCUUCGGGUUGUAAACCUCUUUUGUCAGGGACGAAUAAUGACGGUACCUGGCGAAUAAGCUUCGGCUAACUACGUGCCAGCAGCCGCGGUAAUACGUAGGAAGCAAGCGUUAUCCGGAUUUACUGGGCGUAAAGUGAGCGUAGGUGGCCUUUCAAGUCGGAUGUGAAAUCUCCUGGCUUAACUGGGAGGGGUCAUUCGAUACUGUUGGGCUAGAGGACAUCAAGGGAAGGUGGAAUUCCGGGUGUAGUGGUGAAAUGCGUAGAUAUCCGGAGGAACACCAGUGGCGAAGGCGGCCUUCUGGGAUGUUUCUGACACUGAGGCUCGAAAGUGUGGGGAGCGAACAGGAUUAGAAACCCUUGUAGUCC